AACGCUAGCUACAGGCUUAACACAUGCAAGUCGAGGGGCAGCAUGGUCUUAGCUUGCUAAGGCUGAUGGCGACCGGCGCACGGGUGAGUAACACGUAUCCAACCUGCCGUCUACUCUUGGCCAGCCUUCUGAAAGGAAGAUUAAUCCAGGAUGGGAUCAUGAGUUCACAUGUCCGCAUGAUUAAAGGUAUUUUCCGGUAGACGAUGGGGAUGCGUUCCAUUAGAUAGUAGGCGGGGUAACGGCCCACCUAGUCAACGAUGGAUAGGGGUUCUGAGAGGAAGGUCCCCCACAUUGGAACUGAGACACGGUCCAAACUCCUACGGGAGGCAGCAGUGAGGAAUAUUGGUCAAUGGGCGAUGGCCUGAACCAGCCAUGUAGCGUGAAGGAUGACUGCCCUAUGGGUUGUAAACUUCUUUUAUAAAGGAAUAAAGUCGGGUAUGCAUACCCGUUUGCAUGUACUUUAUGAAUAAGGAUCGGCUAACUCCGUGCCAGCAGCCGCGGUAAUACGGAGGAUCCGAGCGUUAUCCGGAUUUAUUGGGUUUAAAGGGAGCGUAGAUGGAUGUUUAAGUCAGUUGUGAAAGUUUGCGGCUCAACCGUAAAAUUGCAGUUGAUACUGGAUGUCUUGAGUGCAGUUGAGGCAGGCGGAAUUCGUGGAGUAGCGGUGAAAUGCUUAGAUAUCACGAAGAACUCCGAUUG
rnacentral:rRNA from 1 species